CUAGACAGCAGAAACUGUUCACAGGAGAGUUGGAACUCACAGAAGAAAGAGAACGUAAGCAUUGGAGAUGCUGUCCUCCUUGAAGAAGCUGUUCUCCUUGAUGAUCACCCUCCUCAUCUGCGGAACUGUGUUAACUACCCUCAUCUCGUACGUCUACAACGCCAGCGAUGUGAGACCUUCACCUCCACCUGUUCCUUUACCUCCCGCUCUGAAAAUCCCGAGCCCCCCUAAAGGAUGUAAAGGAUGCAGCGAUGUGAGACCUUCACCUCCACCUGUUCCUUUACCUCCCGCUCUGAAAGUCCCGAGCCCCCCUAAAGGAUGUAAAGGAUGCAG
ensembl:lncRNA